UGCCCAAAAAACAUUCAAAAUUUCUGCAGUCGUACCAAGGGCCCGCGAGUAAAAUGAGACGGCGGUGUAAACAAUAGAGUAUGCCGCGAAUAAAGCCAAAAAAGUAACAACAUAUUGUGAUCGUUGUAAGGGCCAGCCGGUACUCUGCCUAACAUGUUUUAAAAAAUUGCAUAAAAAAGGAAAUAAUUAUGUUAAGUGUAUAAUAUUGAAUUGUUAUGUUUUUACUAUUGAAUGUCUGUUUAUAAUGUUAAGAUAAAAUAACGUAAACCUAUUUUGUACUACCUAUUAUGUGAAAUACAAGU
rnacentral:misc_RNA from 1 species